AGCAGUCGCCGCGGGAAUACGAAGGGGGCUAGCGUUGUUCGGAUUUACUGGGCGUAAAGCGCACGUAGGCGGACGCUUAAGUCAGGGGUGAAAUCCCGAGGCUCAACCUCGGAACUGCCCUUGAUACUGGGUGUCUUGAGUCCGGGAGAGGUGAGUGGAACUGCGAGUGUAGAGGUGAAAUUCGUAGAUAUUCGCAAGAACACCAGUGGCGAAGGCGGCUCACUGGCCCGGAACUGACGCUGAGGUGCGAAAGCGUGGGGAGCAAACAGGAUUAGAUACCCCAGUAGUCCCUGUCUCUUAUAC
rnacentral:rRNA from 1 species